rnacentral:tRNA from 1 species
AGGAGUUGAUGCCAUUGGUUAGGCGUGCUAGCUGUUAACUAGUGUGGUGUGGGAUCGAAGCCCUCUGACUCCU